rnacentral:tRNA from 1 species
GGGGGCAUAGCUCAAUUGGUUAGAGCUGGCGGCUCAUAACCGCUAGGUUGGGGGUUCGAGUCCCUCUGCCCCUA